rnacentral:rRNA from 1 species
GGCGAACGCUGGCGGCGUGCCUAAUACAUGCAAGUUGAGCGCUGAAGGUUGGUACUUGUACCAACUGGAUGAGCAGCGAACGGGUGAGUAACGCGUGGGGAAUCUGCCUUUGAGCGGGGGACAACAUUUGGAAACGAAUGCUAAUACCGCAUAAAAACUUUAAACACAAGUUUUAAGUUUGAAAGAUGCAAUUGCAUCACUCAAAGAUGAUCCCGCGUUGUAUUAGCUAGUUGGUGAGAUAAAGGCUCACCAAGGCGAUGAUACAUAGCCGACCUGAGAGGGUGAUCGGCCACAUUGGGACUGAGACACGGCCCAAACUCCUACGGGAGGCAGCAGUAGGGAAUCUUCGGCAAUGGACGAAAGUCUGACCGAGCAACGCCGCGUGAGUGAAGAAGGUUUUCGGAUCGUAAAACUCUGUUGGUAGAGAAGAACGUUGGUGAGAGUGGAAAGCUCAUCAAGUGACGGUAACUACCCAGAAAGGGACGGCUAACUACGUG